UGCAGUCGAGCGGAACGAGAAUAGCUUGCUAUUCGGCGUCGAGCGGCGGACGGGUGAGUAAUGCUUGGGAACGUGCCGUAAGGUGGGGGACAACCAUUGGAAACGAUGGCUAAUACCGCAUAAUGUCUACGGACCAAAGGGGGCUUCGGCUCUCGCCUUAUGAUCGGCCCAAGUGGGAUUAGCUAGUUGGUAAGGUAAUGGCUUACCAAGGCAACGAUCCCUAGCUGGUUUGAGAGGAUGAUCAGCCACACUGGAACUGAGACACGGUCCAGACUCCUACGGGAGGCAGCAGUGGGGAAUAUUGCACAAUGGGCGCAAGCCUGAUGCAGCCAUGCCGCGUGUGUGAAGAAGGCCUUAGGGUUGUAAAGCACUUUCAGUAAGGAGGAAAGGUUAGUAGUUAAUACCUGCUAGCUGUGACGUUACUUACAGAAGAAGCACCGGCUAACUCCGUGCCAGCAGCCGCGGUAAUACGGAGGGUG
rnacentral:rRNA from 1 species